UCAGAUUGAACGCUGGCGGCAUGCUUUACACAUGCAAGUCGAACGGUAACAGGGAGCUUGCUCCGCUGACGAGUGGCGAACGGGUGAGUAAUAUAUCGGAACGUACCCAAGAGUGGGGGAUAACGUAGCGAAAGUUACGCUAAUACCGCAUACGAUCUAAGGAUGAAAGCAGGGGAUCUUCGGACCUUGUGCUCCUGGAGCGGCCGAUAUCUGAUUAGCUAGUUGGUGAGGUAAAGGCUCACCAAGGCGACGAUCAGUAGCUGGUCUGAGAGGACGACCAGCCACACUGGAACUGAGACACGGUCCAGACUCCUACGGGAGGCAGCAGUGGGGAAUUUUGGACAAUGGGCGCAAGCCUGAUCCAGCAAUGCCGCGUGAGUGAAGAAGGCCUUCGGGUUGUAAAGCUCUUUUGUCAGGGAAGAAACGGGAGUGGCUAAUAUCCAUUCCUAAUGACGGUACCUGAAGAAUAAGCACCGGCUAACUACGUGCCAGCAGCCGCGGUAAUACGUAGGGUGCAAGCGUUAAUCGGAAUUACUGGGCGUAAAGCGUGCGCAGGCGGUUUUGUAAGUCUGUCGUGAAAUCCCCGGGCUCAACCUGGGAAUUGCGAUGGAGACUGCAAGGCUAGAAUCUGGCAGAGGGGGGUAGAAUUCCACGUGUAGCAGUGAAAUGCGUAGAGAUGUGGAGGAACACCGAUGGCGAAGGCAGCCCCCUGGGUCAAGAUUGACGCUCAUGCACGAAAGCGUGGGGAGCAAACAGGAUUAGAUACCCUGGUAGUCCACGCCCUAAACGAUGUCUACUAGUUGUCGGGUUUUAAUUAACUUGGUAACGCAGCUAACGCGUGAAGUAGACCGCCUGGGGAGUACGGUCGCAAGAUUAAAACUCAAAGGAAUUGACGGGGACCCGCACAAGCGGUGGAUGAUGUGGAUUAAUUCGAUGCAACGCGAAAAACCUUACCUACCCUUGACAUGUACGGAAGCCACGAGAGAUCGAGGUGUGCUCGAAAGAGAGCCGUAACACAGGUGCUGCAUGGCUGUCGUCAGCUCGUGUCGUGAGAUGUUGGGUUAAGUCCCGCAACGAGCGCAACCCUUGUCAUUAGUUGCUACAUUCAGUUGAGCACUCUAAUGAGACUGCCGGGACAAACCGGAGGAAGGUGGGGAUGACGUCAAGUCCUCAUGGCCCUUAUGGGUAGGGCUUCACACGUCAUACAAUGGUACAUACAGAGGGCCGCCAACCCGCGAGGGGGAGCUAAUCCCAAAAAGUGUAUCGUAGUCCGGAUCGCAGUCUGCAACUCGACUGCGUGAAGUUGGAAUCGCUAGUAAUCGCGGAUCAGCAUGUCCCGGUGAAUACGUUCCCGGGUCUUGUAC
rnacentral:rRNA from 1 species